rnacentral:rRNA from 1 species
UACGGAGGAGGCAAGCGUUAUCCGGAAUUAUUGGGCGUAAAGCGUCCGUAGGUGGCUCUUCAAGUCUGCUGUCAAAGAGUGGGGCUUAACCCUGCAAAGGCAGUGGAAACUGAAAGGCUAGAGAGCCGUAGGGGUAGAGGGAAUUCCCGGUGUAGCGGUGAAAUGCGUAGAGAUCGGGAGGAACACCGGUGGCGAAGGCGGGUCUCUGGACCGAUACUGACGCUGAGGAGCGAAAGCGUGGGGAGCGAACAGG